UUUUGAAAACUGGACAGGACCAAUUAGUCUGACCUGUUAAGCCUGGAACUGGCCAGCAAUCCAGUCCAGUUUAAUGUAAUUUGUUGACUUAACUAAAAACCAGUCAAAACCAGAUUGACUCACCAAACCCCGCUGAAUUGGUUCCACUAUGUGGUGGUGUUUGAGGGAUUCCAUCUCUAGUCCACAGAAGGCAAAUUUUCUAAUUCCAAAGUUCUCAAUUCUUUAACUCUAAUUCUUUUCCCUCUUUCGUCUUUUCCUAGUCCAGCUCUGCUUUCCCAGUCCUUCAUUGAUCAGUUUUCACAAUGGCUAUGACAUGAUGGUUGGACAACAUUGAAUCUUAGUUGCAAAUCAAUUUGGUCCCUCACAAAUGAUAGAUCAACAAAAUUUCAUUGGGUUCCUUGUUCUGUAGCUGGUGUCCUUUAAGCUCCUUCAUUCUCUAGCGACAUCAUGGCUGUUCUUUGAAUCUCCAGGGAGUUUAGGUGCUUUGCUUUUUUUUUUUUUU
rnacentral:misc_RNA from 1 species